AGAGUUUGAUCCUGGCUCAGGACGAACGCUGGCGGCGUGCCUAAUACAUGCAAGUCGAGCGGAGUUUAUCCUUCGGGAUAAGCUUAGCGGCGGACGGGUGAGUAACACGUAGGCAACCUACCCCUCAGACUGGGAUAACUACCGGAAACGGUAGCUAAUACCGGAUAAUUCCUUUUCUCUCAUGAGAAGAGGAUGAAAGGCGGAGCAAUCUGCUACUAAGGGAUGGGCCUGCGGCGCAUUAGCUAGUUGGUGAGGUAACGGCUCACCAAGGCGACGAUGCGUAGCCGACCUGAGAGGGUGAACGGCCACACUGGGACUGAGACACGGCCCAGACUCCUACGGGAGGCAGCAGUAGGGAAUCUUCCGCAAUGGGCGAAAGCCUGACGGUGCAACGCCGCGUGAGUGAUGAAGGUUUUCGGAUCGUAUAGCUCAUUGCCAGGGAAGAACGUCCGGUAGAGUAA
rnacentral:rRNA from 1 species